rnacentral:snoRNA from 1 species
AGGAGGAGGCUAAGUGUUACAAAGCAAGCUCUUAUGGAUAUAUACUUCUCCUAGACGAAGGGUUAGAGAGAAUAACACUUUUUGGAGAAAACCACAGGGAUGACUGUACUAUACAACAUUU